GAUGAACGCUCGCUACAGGCUUAACACAUGCAAGUCGAGGGGAAACGAUGAGAGAGCUUGCUCUCUUAGUCGUCGACCGGCGCACGGGUGAGUAACGCGUAUCCAACCUGCCUCUGACCAAGGGAUAACCCGUCGAAAGUCGGACUAAUACCUUAUGCAGUCGUCGGAAGUCAUCUGAUGACGACGAAAGAUUUCAUCGGUGAGAGAUGGGGAUGCGUCUGAUUAGCUUGUUGGCGGGGUAACGGCCCACCAAGGCGACGAUCAGUAGGGGUUCUGAGAGGAAGGUCCCCCACAUUGGAACUGAGACACGGUCCAAACUCCUACGGGAGGCAGCAGUGAGGAAUAUUGGUCAAUGGGCGUAAGCCUGAACCAGCCAAGUAGCGUGCAGGAUGACGGCCCUAUGGGUUGUAAACUGCUUUUAUGCGGGGAUAAAGUGAGGGACGUGUCCUUCAUUGCAGGUACCGCAUGAAUAAGGACCGGCUAAUUCCGUG
rnacentral:rRNA from 1 species